rnacentral:rRNA from 1 species
UGCGUGCUACUGUGAUGCCUGGCUGCUUCAACGCAAGUGUGGCAGUUAGAGUUGAUCAGCUGUGCGUGAUGUUUCUCAGCUUGUUAGUCAACCUUUGUUCGUGCUUGGGGAUAACUGCGGGUUCCAUGUUCUUCUCUGCGGAGUUGAGCUCGUGCCUGUAAGGACUCAGGUGUGUACAAUUGGUGACAAAAUGGUUCUCUUCGACCCGUCUUGAAACACGGACCAAGGAGUCUAGCACAUGUGCAAGUUCACAGGUGGCAAGCCUGCUUGCGCAAUGAAGGUGACUGCUGGGAUAUUUGCACCAGCAACCGACCAAUCAAUUGAGAGAAGUUUGAGUAUGAGCAUAUGUGUU